UACGGAGGGUGCAAGCGUUGUCCGGAAUUACUGGGCGUAAAGCGCACGUAGGCGGCUUUGUAAGUUAGAGGUGAAAGCCCAGAGCUCAACUCUGGAAUGGCCUUUGAGACUAGAGGACUUGGGUACGGGAGAGGUGAGUGGAAUUCCGAGUGUAGAGGUGAAAUUCGUAGAUAUUCGGAAGAACACCAGUGGCGAAGGCGGCUCACUGGCCCGUUACCGACGCUCAGGCGCGACAGCGUGGGGAGCAAACAGG
rnacentral:rRNA from 1 species